UCAGUAGGCGGCCAACUAAGUCCGACGUGAAAUCCCAAAGCUUAACUUUGGAACUGCGUCGGAUACUGGAUGGCUUGAAUUCGGGAGAGGGAUGCAGAAUUCCAGGUGUAGCGGUGAAAUGCGUAGAUAUCUGGAGGAAUACCGGUGGCGAAGGCGGCAUCCUGGACCGAGAUUGACGCUGAACGACGAAAUAGGAGGCAACG
rnacentral:rRNA from 1 species